AAUAUAGAUGUUAUCUUCAUCGAAUCUAGAAAUAUGUUAAUGGCAUGAAAAUAUGAUAUUCUAAGAUACACUAUUGGGCAUAAAUGUCUUCAUUGAUAUAUAUUUUCAAUAAGCGAAGAAUUAAACAUAUGUGAAAACAUGAAAUAAAGCACAUGAAAUAAAUCUAUAACAUUAUAUAAAGAAUGGAAGCAAACAGCUGCUGUGAAUCUAACGCAGCAAAUUCUCUAAUUUGCCCUGUUUUUUCUAUCAGAAUUCUUUAUAUAUCUCUAUCAGAAUUCUAUCAGCUGAGGUUGAAGCCUAUAUCUCUAUCCUGCAAAGUGGUGGAGUAACAGAGCUUGCAGCCCAUAUCUGUAUCCUGCAAAGUAGUGGACUCUAGCUUCAACAUGUGGCUAUUGCCUCUUUAUGUAUUCCAUGUGAUUGUAAGAAAAGAGGUAAAAUUGAUCUCUAAGAUGUGACUCUAGUUUUACCCCAAAAUCUGCAAAUAUAAUACAGAUUUCAGAUUGUGGCAAUUAGUUGGACCUCCAGAUUGGACAAGCGGUGUGUCCAUGUGGUUUGUAUCAGAAGCUCAGAUGUAGAAAAUUCUAUAUAUAUGAUGACUCUUCAUUCUACAGUUGGUGUCAUCUGCAGCAAACAAAAAAUCUGGUUGGCAACCUGAAAUCCAAGAAGGGGCGUUGAUUGGGAUGAAAAUUGGACAAGUUUGAAGAUGAAGGGAACCUGAAGCCAAGAUGUGCAAGUUGUAGUUGUAUUGUAAUUCUGAUGAACUCUUGCCACUUCCAAGUUUCACAUUUGUCAAAGAGCUCACUCUUGAUGUGGAAAAUGUUGUAGCCCCUCCCAAGCCAAAAUCCUAUUCAGUUGUUAGUAAAGCAUCUUCCACAAAAGAGGGUGUACAUGUUUCAUCAACAAAUGCUAAUCAUAACUCAGAAACGCCACCAAGUGGAGGGGAAAGGAUUGCCGAUGAUGCUCACAGUGAAGACAGCAUAGCUCAAAGUCCAGCUAAUGCUCAAAAUUCUCCAUCUAGCAAGAACUUCAGAGCAGAUGGUUCACCCCAUGCUAGAGAGACCCAGAGUGAACACGGGGGUGUUGAAUCUGUGUUCUCUGGGGACAGAAGUGUUGACGAACGGAACUGGGGUGCAUUUGACACUCACUAUGAUACCGACUCAGGCUGGGACUUCAGUUCUGGUCCUAUAAAGGUAUAUGAAUACUUCUGUAUUGAGUGGCAAUCCAGUUUGCUCUGUGCAUUAAUUAGAGAUGCGGUGCAGCUGCAUGAUGCAUGUGAAGUUUUGAUCCAUAUCCCUUCGAUCAUUCAGUCUUUCUUUUCUUUGGUGUUGUCCAUGAGAAUCCCUUUUCCAGAAUUUUUGGUUUAAUGUUCUUUCGUAGAUCAUGUUUUUUCCUCUUAAAAAAAAAAAUUUAAAAAAAAAAAAAA